rnacentral:rRNA from 1 species
UGGCAAGGAGGUCACACCUGGUCCCAUGCCGAACACAGUAGUUAAGCUCCUUAGCGCCGAUGGUUGUCGGACUGUCUUUCCGCUUGUGUAGGACGUUGCCUGGC